UACGGGGGGAGCAAGCGUUGUUCGGAUUUACUGGGCGUAAAGAGCGUGUAGGCGGUCCGAUAAGUCCGCUCUGAAAGCCCGGGGCUCAACCCCGGGAGGCGGGCGGAUACUGUCGGGCUAGAGUCCGGAAGAGGCAAGUGGAAUUCCUGGUGUAGCGGUGAAAUGCGCAGAUAUCAGGAGGAACACCAAUGGCGAAGGCAGCUCGCUGGGACGUGACUGACGCUGAGACGCGAAAGCGUGGGGAGCAAACAGG
rnacentral:rRNA from 1 species